rnacentral:rRNA from 1 species
AGUGAAGGAGGGGGGCAUGCCUUACACAUGCAAGUCGAACGGCAGCACGGACUUCGGUCUGGUGGCGAGUGGCGAACGGGUGAGUAAUGUAUCGGAACGUACCUUUCAGUGGGGGAUAACGUAGCGAAAGUUACGCUAAUACCGCAUAUUCUGUGAGCAGGAAAGCAGGGGAUCGAAAGACCUUGCGCUGAUUGAGCGGCCGAUAUCAGAUUAGCUAGUUGGUGGGGUAAAGGCCUACCAAGGCGACGAUCUGUAGCGGGUCUGAGAGGAUGAUCCGCCACACUGGAACUGAGACACGGUCCAGACUCCUACGGGAGGCAGCAGUGGGGAAUUUUGGACAAUGGGGGCAACCCUGAUCCAGCCAUGCCGCGUGAGUGAAGAAGGCCUUCGGGUUGUAAAGCUCUUUCGGCCGGGAAGAAAUCGCAUAGGCUAAUACCCUGUGUGGAUGACGGUACCGGAAUAAGAAGCACCGGCUAACUACGUG